rnacentral:rRNA from 1 species
UGGGGAAUAUUGGACAAUGGGGGAAACCCUGAUCCAGCAAUGCCGCGUGUGUGAAGAAGGCCUUCGGGUUGUAAAGCACUUUUAUCGGGAACGAAACGUUGUCGGUUAAUACCCGGCAAAACUGACGGUACCCGAGGAAUAAGCACCGGCUACCUACGUGCCAGCAGCCGCGGUAAUACGUAGGUUGCGAGCGUUAUUCGGAUUUACUGGGCGUAGAGAGCACCGAGGUGGCUUCUUAAGUUGGAUGUAAAAUCUCCUGGCUUAACUGGGCGGCGCCAUUCAAAACUGGGGAGCUUGAGGUCAGCAGGGGAAGGUGGAAUUCCCGGUGUAGUGGUGGAAUGCGUAGAGAUCGGGAGGAACACCAGUGGCGAAAGCGACCUUCUGGGCAGCACCUGACACUCUAGUGCGAAAGCGUGGGGAGCAAAC